AUUGUAUUGUCGUUGCCACAUGUCGCUCUUGUCGUGUAGAUGUGAUCAUUUCAGCUAUUACCUGUCGCGCUAUAUGUUGUCCUGGUCAUCAUAGCGCCUCCAUGUCUGCAUCUUGGGGUUCGACAUCAAGUAACUCUGACAGUGUCUACAGUUCUUGGGCAGGUGAGCAGUGACAGUAGUAUGAACAAAGGUAAUGGAACAGUAUGACUUCCUUUAUACUCUUGUUUUUACAUUAUGUUUACAUUAUUUACAA